UAUAGAUAUUAUUCACAAACAGUUUAAUCAAUUAUCCAAACUUAAUAAGAGAAAGAUGCGCAUAGUUAAAAAUGCCGACAUAAAAGUGCUAGUUUUAUUUGACAGAAUUGUGAUGAGCGUAUAAAAAUGCAAUAAAGUAAUAAUAGUAACGGAGAUAGAUGUUUCUUUAUCAUAAAUAGAAAUUGAUUAAGAAGUAAUGUACCCCUUUUUUUGUAGCAUAUAGUAACAACGCAAUGAACUUUUAAUCUUCUGUCCAAACAGUAAGAAAUUUGUGACAGUUAUUUAUUUCGUAUGCAUAUGAAACCUAAAAUUUAUUUCUACCUUUUCAAAAAGUAUUGUAUUUUUAAUAAUGUCCGCGUUUUUAAAUCGCAAGUUUCAGUUAUAAAAUCCUUGUAAAAAAGUCAUGCACCUUUGGUGGUGUUUUAGCUGUUAACUUUUCAUCUUGGAGGCUCUUGUAGUUAAUUAAGCUUAGCAUGCAUACCAUAUUUUCUAUAUGUAGUGUAUUUAUUUGAUAUUAACAAAGAAAAAGAUUCAGCAUUAACAAUGUAUUGUGCACAUUAUUUACUUAAUAAUUAUUAUAUCUGAACACUUUACAAGAUUUCAUUUUACAGGAACAUUAGAAGAACUCCGUAUACCAUUAAAUUAUGAAGUUAUGGAGCAUUGGUUGUAUUAGUCCUCAUUUGCCCCGGAAAGUAGCUGUUCCCAUGGUUCUAAUAAAAGCAUGAAAGUGCCUUUUUUCCAUUGGGAACGAAGCUGUUAAAUUUUCAUCCUGGAUGCUCUUGUAGUUAAUUAAGGGAUGUUAGAAGAACUCCAGAUGCCAUUAAAUUGUGGAGCAUUGAUUGUGUCGGUCCUCAUUGACUCUAAAAAAGUGACUGUUCCUAUGGUCAUAAAGAAAGCAUGAAAGUGCCUUUCCAUUGGGAACGGAGACAAUGUGCUUAAGAAGUGUGUUGCUGAAGGAGGGAUUUAUGACAAUAAACUGAUUGUCCCACAAAUGACGAGGGAUUGCAGUUAAUUUUGAUGCUACUGAAGCAACUGAUAAUUUUGAUGUCUUCAUCUUGCAACAUUAUGCAGUUAAUUUUUGCCGUAACAACAGGAGGCAGGUAGAAAUUAAUUAAUUUGGAAGCGACUGGAACAACAAAUUGUUUGCAGUGGUAUCCUUCCUAGAUUUGGUUUGCUCAUCACACUGUAGACUGUAGAACGCCACUUUCUACAAUUAAUCAAGGUUAUACAAUAAAUGAGAGAAUUAAUGUGCAGUUUGGUUAUACUGAAACAGCCCAUGUCUACAUAGGUGUGGUCUUUCCUGGAUUAUAUUCUUGAUUUGCUGUUUCAUCUUCGCCUUGUAACAUCAUGCAGUUAAUUUUCAAUCCAUGAGGUAGUGCAACUGGAUAUUUAUUUGAAUUCCACGGAAAUAAGAAAUUCUCUGCUGCAGUAUUUCUCCUGGAGUUGGUUUACUUUUCACAACUGUAAACUUUGGAAUGUUACGUUCUAUAAUUUAUUAAGAUCGACGUUGGAGAAGACAAAGAU